rnacentral:rRNA from 1 species
UACGGGGGGGGGUAAGCGUUGUUCGGAAUUACUGGGCGUAAAGGGCUCGUAGGCGGCCAACUAAGUCAUACGUGAAAUCCCUCAGCUUAACUGGGGAACUGCGUGUGAUACUGGAUGGCUUGGAUUUGGGAGAGGGAUGCGGAAUUCCAGGUGUAGCGGUGAAAUGCGUAGAUAUCUGGAGGAACACCGGUGGCGAAGGCGGCAUCCUGGACCAAUAUUGACGCUGAGGAGCGAAAGCUAGGGGGAGCAAACGGG